UCCCCGUUACCGGGGCAGUCCAAGUAGAAAAAUUCAACUACUUGCAAGGGUUGCGCUCGUUAAUGGACUUAACCAAACAUCUCACGACACGAGCUGACGACGGCCAUGCAUCACCUGUCACCUUGUUCCAAAAGGCACACUCUGCUUUCGCAGAACUUCAAGGGAUGUCAAGCCCUGGUAAGGUUCUUCGUUUACCAUCGAAUUAAAGAACAUGCUCCACCGCUUGUGCAGCUCCCCGUCAAUUCCUUUAUGUUUUAGUCUUGCGACCGUACUCCACAGGCGGGAUGCUUAACGCGUUAGCUUCGCUACUGAAGGGGUCGAUACCUCCAACAGCUAGCAUCCAUAGUUUACGGCGUGGACUAC
rnacentral:misc_RNA from 1 species